AUUCCCAAUGAUAUCACAAUGGAAUGAACUCUCGCGAGAUCUCCACUCGCGUGAGUUUAUGACAUGUGAUAUAACUCCCCCUCUAUUCACAAGUGAAUCAUGAGCCGCACGAACAGGACGUUGUCUAGCAGAGCUCCUGUAGCGCGGUACCAGCCAUGUGCAAGCCGGUGACAUCUUUUACUUCUGGGAACGUAUCUUGCCGGCAGCAAAGGACUGAGUAGUUUCCUUUGGCGUUAGUGUCACUAACCUAGAAGGUAUUCAGACAAGGCUGUAUCACCACCAGGACUGCCGUAAUCCUUGUUUUCUCGCGCAAGGAGCCUAAUGGAGCAGAACAACACUGAACUGAUCACCGAGGGCCUGGAGGAGCACCUGACAUUCCUCCCCUGACGACAGUAGUGGUUAAACUUAUUACUGACACCGCUGUGGGCCAGCAUUUCUGCAAUCUGUGGAGCAGUCAACAGCCCGGAAAGUGGUUGGACCAGGCUCAAAGACUUCAAUACUCGGGCAGUAGUCAACAAUUUGCAGCGGUGAUUCCAAGUUGACUGUGAUAUCCUUUCUGAAAGUGUUUGUUUUUGCACUUCAGGUUGUCGGACAGCCUGUACGCUAGUAAGAGAUCUUUUAACCCUCGUGAACUCGAGAUGUUUCUGUUUUCUCAGUAAUUUUUGCCGCGGUGACGUAACAUGUGAUGUGCCCUUCUUCCAGUUUACCAGCUCCUGUCAUGCUGAUCGGCGGGGCGCAGUUCGGGGCGGGUCGCAGGUCUGCACUAAACCGGCGUUCUCUCCACCACAGCUCCUGUCAGGCUGACUGGCGGGGAGCAGUUCGGC